GGCACCGCCCACCCCCGCCUCUCUCUCUCUGUCUCUCUCUUUCUAGUUCCUGGAAUCUUAGAGUCUCCCUCUUCACUUCCUUUUUUGGGAACCAAGAAGGAGAAAAGAAACUGAAACUGAACCUGAGUUGACUGGGAAACGGAAGAUCAGGGAGUCGAUGCUCAGGGUAAUUCGCCAGAGGUCGUCUGAGGACCGGGUCUGCAAGAUCAGAGCCGGUUCUCAGACUCACCAUUCAUUCGUUUAUUAGUUCAUUCUAGAAACAUCCGUUGAAAUGCUAUGUGCCACGAACUCUGCUAGGUCCCAAGGACAACAGCAACACUUCGGGCCCGGAGCUGCCCUGUGGACAACCUGGGGGCAGAAAUGGGCGUUCACAGAGGUCAAGGCUGUGUGCUGACACUAUGCUAGUCUUUCGUUCAAAACAACUCCUCCCCGGGCGCCUGGAUGUCUCAGUGGGUCGAGCAUCAGCACUCGAUCUCAGCUCAGCUCAUGAUCUCAUGGUUCGUGAUUCAAGCCCCACGUUGGGCUCGGCGCUGACAGCAGCAGAGUCUGCUUCAGAUUCUCUCUCUCCCCCUCUCUGCUCCUCCUCUGCGCUCUCCCUCUCUCUGUCUCAAGAUAAACUUAAAGUCAAGAAAUAAACAUUAAAAAAAACCAAAACGUCCCAACUUCCUCCAACUUCUCCGUAAAAUGACUCGCGUAUGGUUUUGCCACAGCUUGCUUGUCCCAAUUUGCAAUUCUCUACUGUUCCCAAAUAAACCCAUCUUUUGGUGGUAAAAUAA